rnacentral:rRNA from 1 species
UUAGAGAGUGCCCUACUCCCAAAACCCAUGUGAACUUACCUGUACGUUGCCUCGGCGGGGGAGGGGCUGGCCACCCCCCCUCCGCCAGGCGGCCCACCAAACCCUGUUUAGCCCUGAAUCUCUGAGACGAUAAAACAAUGAGUUAAAACUUUCAACAACGGAUCUCUUGGCUCUGGCAUCGAUGAAGAACGCAGCGAAAUGCGAUACGUAGUGUGAAUUGCAGAAUUUAGUGAAUCAUCGAAUCUUUGAACGCACAUUGCGCCCGCCAGUAUUCUGGCGGGCAUGCCUGUUCGAGCGUCAUUUCAACCCCUUAAGCCCUUGUCGCUUAGUGUUGGGAGCCGACGGCGUCCUGCCGUCGCUCCUCAAAUCCAGUGGCGGAGCCGGUUUCGCGCUCUGGGCGUAGUAGAUUUUCUCCAUCUCGCCUGCAGCCGGGGCCGGCCUCCCUGCCGUAAAACCACCACCAAUGUACCCAAAGGUUGACCUCGAAUCAGGUAGGAAUACCCGCUGAACUUAAGCAUAUCAAUAAGCGGAGGAAAAGAAACCAACAGGGAUUGCCCCAGUAACGGCGAGUGAAGCGGCAACAGCUCAAAUUUGAAAUCUGGCCCUCGGGUCCGAGUUGUAAUUUGUAGAGGAUGCUUUUGGCGCGGUGCCUUCCGAGUUCCCUGGAACGGGACGCCUUAGAGGGUGAGAGCCCCGUACGGUUGGACACCAAGCCUCUGUAAAGCGCCUUCGACGAGUCGAGUAGUUUGGGAAUGCUGCUCUAAAUGGGAGGUAAAUUUCUUCUAAAGCUAAAUAUUGGCCAGAGACCGAUAGCGCACAAGUAGAGUGAUCGAAAGAUGAAAAGCACUUUGAAAAGAGGGUUAAACAGCACGUGAAAUUGUUGAAAGGGAAGCGUUUGCGACCAGACCUCUCCCCGGCGGAUCAUCCGGCGUUCUCGCCGGUGCACUUCGCCGGGCUGAGGCCAGCAUCGGUUUCCGCGGGGGGACAAAAGCGGGGGGA